GUGAGUAAUGUCUGGGAAACUGCCUGAUGGAGGGGGAUAACUACUGGAAACGGUAGCUAAUACCGCAUAACGUCGCAAGACCAAAGAGGGGGACCUUCGGGCCUCUUGCCAUCGGAUGUGCCCAGAUGGGAUUAGCUAGUAGGUGGGGUAACGGCUCACCUAGGCGACGAUCCCUAGCUGGUCUGAGAGGAUGACCAGCCACACUGGAACUGAGACACGGUCCAGACUCCUACGGGAGGCAGCAGUGGGGAAUAUUGCACAAUGGGCGCAAGCCUGAUGCAGCCAUGCCGCGUGUAUGAAGAAGGCCUUCGGGUUGUAAAGUACUUUCAGCGGGGAGGAAGGGAGUAAAGUUAAUACCUUUGCUCAUUGACGUUACCCGCAGAAGAAGCACCGGCUAACUCCGUGCCAGCAGCCGCGGUAAUACGGAGGGUGCAAGCGUUAAUCGGAAUUACUGGGCGUAAAGCGCACGCAGGCGGUUUGUUAAGUCAGAUGUGAAAUCCCCGGGCUCAACCUGGGAACUGCAUCUGAUACUGGCAAGCUUGAGUCUCGUAGAGGGGGGUAGAAUUCCAGGUGUAGCGGUGAAAUGCGUAGAGAUCUGGAGGAAUACCGGUGGCGAAGGCGGCCCCCUGGACGAAGACUGA
rnacentral:rRNA from 1 species